rnacentral:rRNA from 1 species
UGGGGGAAUAUUGGGCAAUGGGCGAAAGCCUGACCCAGCAACGCCGCGUGAGGGAAGAAGGGUUUCGGCUCGUAAACCUCUGUCCUAUGGGACGAAGGAAGUGACGGUACCAUAGGAGGAAGCCCCGGCUAACUACGUGCCAGCAGCCGCGGUAAUACGUAGGGGCGAGCGUUGUCCGGAAUGAUUGGGCGUAAAGGGCGCGUAGGCGGCCUGCUAAGUCUGGAGUGAAAGUCCUGCUUUCAAGGUGGGAAUUGCUUUGGAUACUGGUAGGCUGGAGUGCAGGAGAGGAAAGCGGAAUUACCGGUGUAGCGGUGAAAUGCGUAGAUAUUAGGAGGAACA